UAGGGAAUCUUCGGCAAUGGACGAAAGUCUGACCGAGCAACGCCGCGUGAGUGAAGAAGGUUUUCGGAUCGUAAAACUCUGUUGUUAGAGAAGAACAAGGACGUUAGUAACUGAACGUCCCCUGACGGUAUCUAACCAGAAAGCCACGGCUAACUACGUGCCAGCAGCCGCGGUAAUACGUAGGUGGCAAGCGUUGUCCGGAUUUAUUGGGCGUAAAGCGAGCGCAGGCGGUUUCUUAAGUCUGAUGUGAAAGCCCCCGGCUCAACCGGGGAGGGUCAUUGGAAACUGGGGGACUUGAGUUCAGAAGAGGAGAGUGGAAUUCCUUGUGUAGCGGUGAAAUGCGUAGAUAUAUGGAGGAACACCAGUGGCGAAGGCGGCUCUCUGGUCUGUAACUGACGCUGAGGCUCGAAAGCGUGGGGAGCAAACAGG
rnacentral:rRNA from 1 species